GACGUAGGGCGCGAGCGUUGUCCGGAUUUAUUGGGCGUAAAGAGCUCGUAGGCGGCUUGUCGCGUCGACUGUGAAAUCCCGCGGCUCAACUGCGGGUCUGCAGUCGAUACGGGCAGGCUAGAGUUCGGUAGGGGAGUCUGGAAUUCCUGGUGUAGCGGUGAAAUGCGCAGACUAUCAGGAGGAACACCGGUGGCGAAGGCGGGACUCUGGGCCGAUACUGACGCUGAGGAGCGAAAGCGUGGGGAGCAAACAGG
rnacentral:rRNA from 1 species